rnacentral:lncRNA from 1 species
GAACACCAGGGAUACCGGUUACUGGGCAUAUAAUAGGUGACCAACCAAGGCGUGAAUUGGGGAAUAUUUCCAAGACACUCAUCAUCCAAUGUCAUAAUAGGGAGCAGAGAGGAAGGAACACCAGGGAUACCGGUUACUGGGCAUAUAAUAGGUGACCAACCAAGGCGUGAAUUGGGGAAUAUUUCCAAGACACUCAUCAUCCAAAAGAGGGCUAAAAAGCAAACUCGAUUACAGGAUGGACAUUCGAUUCCACAAAAGGGGAUACGAAUCUUACUCGACUGGGGAAGAACAAAAGACUUCGAUCAAAGAGUGCAUGAGAUAUAUUAUCUAUUACCGUCAGAACGUAGAUAACAUACUCGCAUGGAAGAUUAUCCACAACCGGUUACUGGUUUAAUAAAGGAUAAAUCGACCGAAAGAAAAGGCAUCGGGAUACCAAAAACUAGGUAUAAAAUGAUGGCCAAUCAAAGGGAGAAACAAUCAUUACCAGCCAAGGGUAAAUGAAAGAUGACUUGCUGAGGAUACAUUGAC